CUUUCUGCUCCCCUCCACUACCCACCAUGAUGACUCCCCAGGCCUCAGCUUCCCAAUAAACGUGGAUUUAAUAUGUUCUAAUCUGGUUUGAAGAGGCUCAUUUCACCAUGGAAGAAAUAGCCUAUCCGAGAGAGGUAAAGGCAGGAUGCUGGAGUUUGGAGUCAGCUCGAGCUACAGUGUGGCUUUCUCUCAGAACAAAAUGCACAAACCAAACCAACCAGGAGCUUGGCCAUAAAGAAAAGGAUUAUCAGACAACCAUGAGUCUGUGAGAGCUGCUGAUUUAUUUCAAGGAAGACUUCAUUGCCACCUAUUUCAUGAGAAACAUGAAGGGACAGUAGACUAACACUGGAACUUGACCUUGGUGAGGCUACUCAUGGGAAGGGGCGUGACCACUCACAAGAAGGGGCGUGGCUGGAAAGUAGAUAUAUUCUUUCAUCCUUUAUUUCCAAUCAAGACUGGAGCCAUGACUCAGAGACUUCAUCUGUACUGGAAAGAUGAAACCACAAAGUGUAAAACUCCCUGGAAGAGGGGCUGUUGAAGAAACACUAGAGGAACCACAGCUGGGGCAGGAAUAAGGACCUCCCGGUGGUGCUGUGGAAUUUAACAGGUCUGCCCAGUUUCAGAGUCUCCAGCCACUUCAAAGGGGACAGAGAGAGAGAGAACUUGGACACAGCUAAGAAGUUUAACAAGAAGCUUUAGAACACUGGAGAGAAGAAACUAAAUGUGCUUCUGUCUUGACCACGCUGCUGCGUGCUGUGAAACAAAAUGUGGCGGCUUAAUGUCCCACUCACUCUCUCCAUCUUCCCGGGGCAGAGGGCCCCUUUGAAACUUGCCCAGCAUGGUGAAGCGCAGGUAAGGAGAGUGAGGAGCAAAGACCGCAUGUGGUAAAACGGGAACUCUUACUUCUAAACAUUCAGUGUGCAUACUUGGUGCCGCCUUCAAAGUUCCAACCCUCCCGAUCUUUCGAUAGGCCUCAGUGUACAGUUCACUAGCUUCUGACUGAUUGUUCCUUCAAGAGUGGGCUCCUCCCAUGUCUGUCCUAGGUUUCUAUGAGCCUCCAUCCUGCCUCAGCCUGGGACAUUCUAUAAAUACUUCGAAGAAGUAUUCUAGCUGGACUCUUUGCUCUUUUUGUUCUUAAAACCUAAUCUUUCACACUCAGAUUAUCUGGAAAAGAAUCCGCUAUGGUUGGGCGUAUCGCUUUGUCCACUGAAUGGGUGUCACUCUAUGGGCGAUGUGGUGGGCACAAUCAAGUCGUGCCUUUGUAUAAUCCUGUCCCCUGGAUACUGGUAGAGCUUGUGACUUGCUUCUAAAUUGUAAAGCAAUGACAAAGGUGAUGUCAUCCUGCUGGUCAUGUUUUGUUAAUAAAGACUGCUUUAACUGGGUGGAAAGGGUUCUUUGCUGGCUUUGAAGAUGCCGUGUUGUGAGAGGGCUAUAGAGCAAGGAAGUGGAGAUAGCUUCUUCAAGAUGAUGGGGACCCCAAACCAACAGCCAGCAGGAAAAUGGGAACCUUGGUGCCCUAACUGUAAGGGGCAAGUUCUGAAACACUGAAGGAGUUCAGAAGCCGGAGAUGGCUUCCCCUGUUCAGGCUUCUAGAUGAGCAUACCAUCCAACUGACCCCUUUUAGCCCUCAGAUACGCCGAGCUCAGGAUACAGCUGAGCCAUGCUCAGAUGCCUCCCACUGUUGGAAACUCUGAGCUCAUAGCAAGGCAAGCUUGAGAGAGGUCGAACUGUGCACGCCCGCAGUAGAUAGCCAAGAAAGGCAGUAGACUAGAGACACUCUGGAGAGGCUUGGUGAUAAGAAGAAAUCAGAAAAGACAAGAGACUUUUCAAAGCCCUUUUUAAAGAUAGGAGCACUUCACAGAAUGCCCCACCCAGCCAGCGCUGUGUCAGUCAUGUAGAAUUCGCCUUGUAUAAACACUGUGAUUAUGGCUUUGAGAAGAUAUUUGCGCCGGUCAGGUUUUAGCCAGGAAAGCAGAAAUCAUUAUGCCACUUGAAUGAUGUAAUGCACAUGCUAUCUUAAGCAGGCAGUGAGAGCAGACAGGAAGCCUUAGGACAGCCAGGCAGCCUAGAGUUUAGCACCAUCUUCCUGAGUUUCAUAUUUUAUAUGGCGCUCCUGUAUAUGUGUGGGACCCUGAAAGGUUGCCUGGUCCUCGGUUGAGCUAAGGCCUGAAACCCCGGACACCCUGAAGGGACAGUAGGCUUUACCUGUUCCGGGACACCAGGGCAGGUCCCUAGCCGCAGCUCCCCCAGCCCCCCUAUAGAUUUGUGGCCACCAGUCGUGUAUGGGCAGUGCCCUAAGCCCCUUCACAUGUAGAGGACAUGACCUGUGGUCAAAACAGAUCUCCAUUUUAAUGAGGUAGCUAAAGGCCUGGAGGCGUAGCCAAUAACCUUUCCUUCCCAGACACUCCUCCCUGCAAAAGGUAUUUAAUCUGAGAGUGGGGUAUGGUUUUACUCAUCCACUUUCCGCCAUGACAAUAAAUGUCUUCAAACAAUGGACUGCCACUUUUCAUCAGGAUCAGACGCCUUGACCUACUGAGCUUAGAAGGCCUCUCUGUGCUCCCAUCCACAACUGCCUCCAAGCCAAGUUCAAGCUCACGGCCGGCUAGAUGCAGCCUGCCGCCCUGCUCCAUUUUCAGCUUUUCCACGGCAUCCGGCAGCACCUGAGUGUCCGAGAGCCUGAGAACCAGAACGGCGCCAGCCUCGCCACAGACCCAGGGACCCAUGAGGCAGCUCCAGCUGUUCCACUCCUCAGACCGCAUUUUCCUACCUCCAAAACGGUGUCCGGCCUGAUGACAGCGUGGGGUAAGCCUGGUCAACCUACAGCAUCCGGCCUCCCGGAUUGGCUGAGCCCUGUGGCAGAGCGGACAUGCGUCCCCGCUUACCCUACAUAACCCUCAAUGUAGGGUUUAUUUUGUUUGAGACUGGGUCUGGCUGUAUUGCUCAGACAGGCUUCACGCUCAAGAUUCUCUCGCUUUAGCCUCCCAGCUGCUGGGAUUACAGGUAUAUACCACCAUGGUCUGCUUUCAUUAGUGAACUCAUAUGCCUUGUCUGUUAAUUUGUCUGUUGUUGGUUAUUUCGGCAGAUUCGAUUACUGGAACUCUGAGCUUCCCUACAGUAGUUGGGAAAUAAAGCCACGGAUAAGGGCCAACAAAAUGACUGAUGAAGAGACCUUCAAGGAAUCCAGAUACUGGAACUGUUAUGGGAACAUUGGAAAGCAGCAGUAUCUUGGUGAUAAGCACAGAGGCCAUGCUUGUGGUAGGGUCAUAGACUGAAUGGGGAAAAGGAAGCCAAGUACCAGAGUUCAUCUCUCUGCCUGCUUCCUGACUGAGGAUACCACGUGACCCGCUUACUCUUAUUCCUGCCUCCCUGACCUUCUGCUACAAUGGACGUCGGGCUGUGAGACAAAAAAUCAACCUUUCCUUGAGUUACACUUAGGACCACCUGCCUAGCAGCAGCACCACCCACAGUGUGCCAGGACCAGCUCCAUCAAGAGGAUGUCUCCACGGACAUGCCCACAGGCUAAUCUGAUGGCGGCAGUUCCUCGGUUGCCACAGAGCAACCCAGAGCAGGUUGACAAACAAGAUUAACUAGUGUUUGCCUGUGUUAUUAAUACACAUGAUUGUCUGUGUGUGUGUUACACGUGCUCACGAUUAAAACACACUUGAAAUGAUCAAAUCAUCUUUUAAUGUCUAUUUCCCCAUUAGCAUUUUGUCUAAGCCCCACCCCACAGUUACCUGGCAACAGCCAGGUAUGCUCUGCCCCACAGAUACCUGGCAAAAGCCAGGUAAGCCUGACACUAUGAAAGGGGCUGCUUGCCCCCUCCUCACUCUCUUGUCCUCUUGCUCUUGCCUUCCUGCCCCUGCUCUGUCCUCCCAUUCCCUUACCCCCUCUUUUUCCACAUGCUCAUGACCAGUCUCUACUUCCCUCCUCUUCCUCCUCUUCCUCCCCCCCCCCCCCGUCUCCUUCUCUACUCUCUCUACCCCUACUACCCUCUUAUCUCCCCU